UCCGUGUGCCCAAACCCAAGCAAAACUGUGGAGUCCAGAAGCCAGGGGGAAGCGUGUGGGACAGACUCCGAACUAAGAGUUUUGAGAGCGGGAGAGCACAC